rnacentral:ncRNA from 1 species
CUACGGACUUAAGAAAUUGAGCCUUGUUGGAGAAAUCUGGCAAGUGAAUGCUCUCAAAUUCAGGGAAACCUAAAUCUGCUCACAGACAAGGCAAUCCUGAGCCAAGCCGAAAUUAUUCAAGAUUCGGAAGGUGCAGAGACUCGACGGGAGCUACCCUAACGUUCAGACGAGGGUAAAGAGAGAGUCCAAUUCUCAAAGCCAUUAGGUA